UAAGACGAACCGUGCGAACGUUAUUCGGAAUCACUGGGCUUAAAGCGCGUGUAGGCGGAUGGGGACGUCGGUCGCUGAAAUCCCCCGGCUCAACCGGGGAAGUGGCGCCGAAACGCCCCGUCUGGAGGGACGUAGGGGGACCUGGAACUUCCGGUGGAGCGGUGAAAUGCGUUGAGAUCGGAAGGAACGCCCGUGGCGAAAGCGAGGUCCUGGACGUUUUCUGACGCUGAGACGCGAAAGCUAGGGUAGCGAACGGGAUUAGAUACCCCGGUAGUCCUAGCUGUAAACGAUGGGCACUGGGUAGGGGGCUCGCCGAUGGGCUCCCUGCCGAAGGGAAACCGUGAAGUGCCCCGCCUGGGGAGUAUGGUCGCAAGGCUG
rnacentral:rRNA from 1 species